UUCUGAAUACUAGAAAAAAGUGUGAUACGACAGCCUUUUCUUAGGAACAUACCCAACAGUGCACGCAAAGCUUGUUGAUUUUCAAAAAGAACUUGUAAACUUGCAGGUUGUGGAGAAUAAUCCCAAAUACUGGGAAGUUAUGUCAUCAACACUUGCUGUGGGUUGGCUAGAUAUCGUGAGAUCGGGUUUGCAUUGCCAUGGAUAAGG